UUUGUUGAUAUCAUCACCAUGGAUGUCAUCCGGCUUAGGGCCUAUUCAUAUCUGCAAAUUUAUCCCACCUCUCUGCCCAUAAUCUGGUAGGUGGGAUGAAAUCAUCGAAUGUUUACAUGCAAAUUCUAUCCCACCUUCUAGUCUAUGUGCUUCCAGAUUUUAUUUACCAGUAAACGGCGUUGUUAGAAUUUUCCUGUUCAUCAUGAAAAUUUUAGAAAAAAGUAGAAAAACUUUACAUGAUCCGGAGUCCCUCAUCAUCAAGACCUCAGCUCUUAUUAAGAAAUAAACCCUAUAUGUACGUUAAAGAGCGAGGGCUUAUUUUCGCUUAGCUGACCCAAAAGGGGGUAAAAAAACAAAAGGGGUAUCAAUGAGAUUUUAAAAGGUGCCGCACCCUAUGGUCAACAGACAUCCUCCAGAAUUGAGGCAAUAUCCUAUUUUGAAGUCGUGUCCCUCAUAGCCCCAAACUCUUCACGCUUCACGUUCUUUUGUCGAUUUAAAAGAAAAGUGAAGCUUAGAGGUUGCUUCAUCGUUUGAAAGCAGGCCGCGGUUCAACGCCGAAAACAGCAAACAAUGGGGUAAAGUUCGUGCGGAAUAUGACAAGGGACGAGUGAUAGCUGUCAUUUUCAUUGCAGUCUUUGUGGUCAGGAUAAAGUAGACCUAAACACUGAACACAAUGUUUUGAAGAAUGAGAUUUUCGGAGGGACGAGCUAGCUUCAUGCAACAAAUCAAGAAUCUGUCUCAGCUUGUCGUUUGAAAUCAUUUGAGGUUUUACACUGAAGCAGUGGUUUAUAUGAAUAUUGAAGCCGAGCUGGCGGGCUUGUGUGGCAAAACGCUGUGGAUCUGGGGUAUAGGCUAUCAAUCGAUUGUUACCAGGAAGCCUAAUUUGAUGCUUCAAAGUGAUGGAAAGUGCUCUUAGAAAACGGCAUCAGACAAGCGAGCAUCACUUGAGUUUCCAAAGGAAAAAUGAUAGCCAUUGAAGCCAAUUGUGGUUUAGUGAUGAUUUGAUUUUUUGUUGGUGGCUCGAUUGUAAAGACACCCAAACGUGAAAGAGAAACUCAAGCAAGAUGGCUACUGCACAUGCAGGAAUUGACUACUAUGGCAACGCAUGAAUUAAAAGUUGAAUUGACAACAGCGUGUUAUGGAGACCUCGUAGUGUCAUUCGGAUAUUUGAGAUUAUUUAGUUACUGGUAGUCCUACAUUGCUUGUAACUCAACUUUGAGCUGCAUUUCUUCUGGUUUGACAAUUAUCUAGCCAUUUCUCUAUCUUUCUUGAGAUAAGGACGAUUUACUGUGGAACUGUUGAGGCAACUGGAGACUAGAAAAGUUCUAGAUAGCGUGGCACCACACGUUUGGAGUAGAGUCUCAAGUACGCCGGAAUGGCCGCUAUACUUAUGUUAUCAAAAGUAACGUUUUUUACUCUUAUGGUUGUACACUUUACUCCACAAAGAAUCGCUGCAACUCUCCGGAAGUCACCAUAUCCGUGCUUUCGUCAUGUCAAGGUUUUGCAGAACAGGACCGCGAAGGAUGACAUGCCUAACAUUUUGAAGCGUAGUCUAGAACAAGAAGCUUCAAAAAUUGAACGUUAUAUCGUUUCGAUCCCAUCCCACAAACAUUUGUGUGAGUAUAUCCAGAAGAAACUUAUCGUAGUUUUUCAUAGGCUUUACAACCUGGAGAUCGACAUAUUUGAUAUGGAGAGGAAACUGACAAAUAUUAGCAAAGACGGCAACGGAAAAACUGCUCUUGACUUCAAGGAAAAGCUCUAUCUUCUAUCAAUUGAUGAUUUGAUAAGUAAAGUCGUAUUGAUUAAGAGAGAAAACUGUCAACUAAAGGGAGGUAAAUUCGUGGAAAAGACUCUUGAAUGCGCAUUAACAUCCAAUGAAGGAUUUGAUAAGAAUUCUACAUCUCCAGAAGUUCCUUUGUCGCAUCCAGCAUGGCUUGGGUUGGCUGUCUUUGGAAAUAUUGUCAGCAUUCUAAGUCAACUAAUUCUGUUUGUAAUUUAUUGGAAAACCACAGGACUUGAAAUGAUUUUUCCCAGAAAAUGUGUACUGCAUUUAUGUGCAUUGCAAUUUCUGCUACAGUUACUCCAACUGACUUCGUUGUAUGUCAACAAGGUCCUUCAUAUUUGCACCGGGAUAUCAAUUCUUUCCCACUGGGUAGCUCUGUGCACCUUCGUGUGGUUGAGUUGCAUAUCGUUCGAAAUUAACUGGUUGCUCAGUCGACAAUGCAUGUUGAACAAGGAGGAGCGUUUAGUUGGUUACAGUUCAGUUUCUUUCGGCCUUACAGCAAUCAUAGUACUGAGUUGUACUAUCUUGCAUUUUUCGAGCGGGAGGUCAAUAGGCUAUGGAAAUGGGCCCUUAUGCUUUGUUGGCGAUAGAUGGACCAUGUUUUACUCAUUUCUGCUUCCAACCAGCAUUUUAUUGUUGAGUAAUAUAGCCUUGACUCUUUGUAGCUACAGGAGGUGUGCUGCUCCUUCAAAAUCUAAUCUGCAACAAGAAACUGAUGGAGAAUCAAAUACCCGCAAUAAACUAUCGUUUAUAUAUAGCAGUCUUCUUGUGUCUUUCGUGAUAUUGCUGUGCAGAAUCCUAGAGACAGUUUCUGUGCGUUAUUCUAUAGUUUACUGCAUGACUGUUGUUCUGACAAGUUUACAUGGCGUUUUCAUUUUAAUCGCAAUGGUUGCAAACAGGAAAGUUCUCAGUGCAGCUAGAAGCGCUUUUUCCAGAAAGAAAAGAGACCGCGUUACUUACGCGCACAAACUGCGGGAUCAGAGAG